rnacentral:lncRNA from 9 species
GAAAUUGCAGCUGCUUAUUGACCCAGGGAAAACGUUGCAAAGAAGUAACACCAAUUACAAUUUCUGUGGAAAUAUUCAAAGUCCAUCUCAACUGUCUAUCUCCCUAAUUUUGGUGCUAUCAGAAAAGAAAGGAGAAUUGACAAGGAUGGUUGUACUGCUCGUCACUUAUACACAAAGUUGGCACAAUGGAUCCUAGCUUCAGUGUGAGCCAACAGCAACACACUAGCCUAUGAGAAAGAGGACGCAUGGAAACGAGGCAGCAAGUGACAUUCUUGAGCACCUGUAAGCACUGGGUAAUCUGCAAGCGACCUGAAUCUCUCCAGGAUAAAAUUGCAAGAAAAUGCACUGGCUCCAAGAACCUUGUGAAAAGUCGCCUAGAAACUCAUUGGUAUGGAAAGGACGGAUAUUGAACGCCUUGAAAGCAGCGGCUUCGUGGAAUCCCAGAGGAUUUAAAUGCAUAAACAUGAGCCUUCUGAUGUUUGGGAACCAUUGCAGCCCAU